GACGAACGCUGGCGGCGCGCUUAACACAUGCAAGUCGAACGGAAAGGCCUGCUUUCCCUUGUGGAUUGCGGGUACUCGAGUGGCGAACGGGUGAGUAACACGUGAGUGAUCUGCCCCCAACUUGGGUAUAAGCCUGGGAAACUGGGUCUAAUUCCCGAUAGGACUGCAGGGUGGUGCCUGUGGUGGAAAACGAUUUUCUAGUGGUUGGGGAUGAGCUCGCGGCCUAUCAGCUUGUUGGUGGGGUAAUGGCCUACCAAGGCGGCGACGGGUAGCCGGCCUGAGAGGGUGGACGGCCACGUUGGGACUGAGAUACGGCCCAGACUCCUACGGGAGGCAGCAGUGGGGAAUAUAGCACAAUGGGCGGAAGCCUGAUGCAGCGACGCCGCGUGGGGGAUGACGGCCUUCGGGUUGUAAACUCCUUUCGACCGCGAGGAAGCCACCUGGUUGGAAGGGUGGUGACGGUAGUGGUAGAAGAAGCACCGGCUAACUACGU
rnacentral:rRNA from 1 species